rnacentral:rRNA from 1 species
UACGUAGGGGGCAAGCGUUGUCCGGAUUUAUUGGGCGUAAAGAGCGUGUAGGCGGCCAGGUAGGUCCGUUGUGAAAACUGGAGGCUUAACCUCCAGCUGUCGAUGGAAACCAUCUGGCUAGAGUCCGGAAGAGGAGAGUGGAAUUCCUGGUGUAGCGGUGAAAUGCGCAGAUAUCGGGAGGAACACCGGUGGCGAAGGCGGCCCCCUGGUUGGAUACUGACGCUGAGACGCGAAAGCGUGGGGAGCAAACAGG